rnacentral:rRNA from 1 species
CAAUAGCGUAUAUUAAAGUUGUUGUGGUUAAAAAGCUCGUGGUUGGAUCUCAACACGGUGGUGGCGGUCGGCAAGCUUGCCGUUACUGCUGUCUUGCCGUGUGCUUUUUGCUGGAGGGUGGUGGGUGCUCUUAAUCGGGUGUCCAUUGUCGCCAGCAGGUUUACUUUGAAAAAAUUAGAGUGCUCAAAGCAGGCUGUUACGCCUGAAUAUUCGUGCAUGGAAUAAUAGAAUAGGACGUCGAUCCUAUUUUGUUGGUUUUCGGGACUCGACGUAAUGAUUAAUAGGGACAGUCGGGGGCAUUUGUAUUCAAACGACAGAGGUGAAAUUCUUGGACCGUUUGAAGACAAACUACUGCGAAAGCAUUUGCCAAGAAUGUUUUCAUUAA